UGGUUAGAGAAACAGGCGUUUUUGUCUUUGCUUUUGUUUCUUGUCUUGCACCUAUUGGUAUUUCCAGGUUGCAAGCUUUUUAAGCUUUGACUUUGGGAUGUAGGAGGCAAAACGGAAAUUCAAGGAACUUACUGUCGUGUCAUUUCUUGAGUCCUGAGUACUCUUGCUGGUAUGCCUUUUUUUCUUCACCUUUCAGAAUCACUCUGUGUGUAUUUUGUUAAUUAUCUUUUUUUAAAGAUUUUAUUUAUUUAUCUUUAGAGAAGAAAGGGAGG